GUUGAGUCGUUGAUCAGUUGGUUUGACAGUGUGUCCACUUUGUUAAGCCAAAGAUAAAUAAUCAAUAAAUUAUUAAAAGUGCAUUGUAAAUUGUUGCUUUCUACGUAAAUAGUACAAAAUGGGUCGUACCUGUGAUAUCAUUGGAUGCUCAAAUUCAAAUUACAAGACAGAAAAAUUAAGCUAUCACAGUUUGCCAUCAAAUGAACUUUUGAGAGGAAAAUGGCUAGAGGCCAUUAGUGCAAAUGGAGUAUUUCGGCAGUCUAAAACGAGAAAGAAAACGCACAAUUGGGAGAACACAUUUAUUUGUGGGGAACAUUUCCCAGAAGACUGAGCACUACAUUUCGACAUCAAAGCAGAAACAUCUCAAACCUAUCGCUGUCCCAACAUUCCCUCCAACAAAGAAACAAAAGUGUAUCGAAAACAACAGUUCAGGUACUAACAACUUUCCCUCAGAACGUAACUUUCAUCCAAGAUUAAGGAUUGACGACGUGUUGGGACAGAUGACUUUGGUUGGGUGGAACAUGCUGAUUCGACAUUUUACUCCCACGUUCCCCUUCCUGUCGUUUGUGUAUAGACGGGCAGCUGUGUACUUCAUUAGAAAGAGAAGAAGCACCACAGAUUACAUCAAGUAUGGCCGAUAACCAAAUCCCCAUCAAUCAGAUUGCCACCAGUCUGCUGCCAAAUGGCAAUUUGCUCUCCUUGUUGGUAAUUUUGGACCUGUCUUAUGUGUCAUCAAGAUUGCAAACGAUGUGUCAUCAUUGACUCCACAUGGCACAUCAGACGUGUAGUCGGGAAAUCGCUACGAAUACUUCUUUUUUCACGCAAUUCUUCUUAAAAUGUUGAGGAUCAGCCAGAUUUGUUCAACGGCAUUUCUUUGUUGCCAACAUCUUCAGCAUUCUGGAAAUUGCAGGCCCAUUUCACGUUGCAGAACGAUAUUUCACUCCUUCGUCUGUUCCCCGGUUUUCGUACGACGGCCAUGCUGCUCUCCCAUCUGGAUAUAAGUCGUAAUUCGAUCGACCAGGGAUCCAUCCGCAUGUAGCCCCUGAAUACUUGGACACUUCCGCUUUGCAUCCGGUGUUUCUUUUGUGAUAGCAAAGAUAUUCUUGCUGGUCGUUAUCAAAGUUGUGAUGGCAGUGGGUGCAGUUUGGAUUAUCGACGCAUCGUUUGGCGCGUUCCAAAGGAUUUCACACAAAGUCACGAACGGAGAAAGGUCGUUGUCUUCACUGGGGAAGAAAUCACAGCCGCUUUCCCAGGGGUAUCCACUGUUGUAACCUCCAGAUUUCCAUUCCAUGGCCGACGAAACAACAAAAACGGUCAUUACCACACCAGUAAGGACUUCAUUUCUAAUUUUCUAUCCAUCCAAUUUUUAAAAUCAAGUAGAAACAUGUCGCAGCUUUAUUUAGUUUCACUUACCGGUUGGAAAGUUGGGCUGGCCAAAUUACGACUGAUGAAUGCCAAUGUGGUAGAUUUCGAGUAGGUAACCGUCAUAAAAAUUCUGGUCAUUAUUGACAUUUCCUUGGGAAUUUUUUUACUUGGGCAGUGUGUACAUGAUGGGCGCAAAUCAUUGGGUUUCCAGCUACCCCCACACCAUCGUUAAUUUGCAUAAAAGAAUUCUUUGCCAAGUCGAAUGGCCAGGUCAAUCACGCUCUGUCACGCCAAAGUUAUUCGUUCUAUCCAACUGCGACAAGGUGUGGUUCAUUGCGCUGUGACGGGAUAGUUUAUGAUAAUUCAUUUAGAAGGGAGUUUUGUUUGUUUAGCUUUCAUUGCCGUAAAUGUUUAUGUUUCGUUUAUUUGUUUUUCCUGGUGGCAUGCGAAAUAUUGGCCAGACCGCAUGAAUUUCACGCCGAAUAAGCGUGAAAAUCCCUUUCAAGAAACGUUAUGUUGAAAACUUGUUUUCUAAACGUAUACCUUGUUGAUUCCUACGUACUUGAUCGGUGACGUGUCUCAAUUGCAAAGAGUUUCUCUUUAAUACUUUGCCAAUUGGAAAUGCCGUUGCCUUUUUUGCGGGACUGAAAACCAGUUGAAGGCGUUGCCGCAAAAACAAAAAGGUUGGAGCCGACCGUCACCGAUUUGGAAUCGAUCCCGUUGUGACAUUUGAUCCCACUCGAAGUUUUAAGAGUCGAUAUGAGUUCCCUUUCACAAACACAAGGGCGAUAUGGGUUGAGAACCUUGACAAGUAAAUCUGAAAGUGCAAUUGAACAUCGUCGUCGUGGUAUAUAAAGAGCCAAUUGAACGAUCAAUCAGCAACUCAUUCUUCUCAUUUACUUGGCUCCAGCAGCAUCUCAUUUGAACGGGAAUUUUUAUUCGUCAGAUUUUGAAUUCAAUUACGAAUAAUUUGUUUAAAUGUCGGUCGCCCAGUGCAACAAAAUGUUUUUGAUUUCCGCCGUUUUGGUGAUGGUUGCGGUGAUCCUGCCGGCCGAGGCGAUCCGAACCUGGGACGAUUGGCACAACGGCGACGACGGCAUUAAAUGGAUGUACAACUGCGAGUUUCCAGGUGCUUGGACGCUGGAAGCCAAGGAAUUCAACAGUGACUAUUCGCCAAUGGAAGAAUCGCAGUGCGGCCGUGCCUGUAUCGACCGCAGGGGAUGCAAUUCCUUCGUGUUCAGAGAAGGCACUUGCUUCCUGAAAUCCUCUUCCAUUCCUGGAUCUUACAAACCUUAUAGACUUUGCAACCAGUGCGACAGUUGCGGUUUUCUCCCCUGGAAAUUCCACUAGAAAUUGCAAUUUAAUUUAUUCAUCAAAUUUAUAUUAUUUAUUUUGUCGGGUUACAAACGUCAGCUUGAUUAAUUCCACUUAUAUUUAUGGGGUGGCGAAAUAUAAUUGUCUCUAAUUGAUUCUUCGUUGUCGUCAAAACGAAUUCCAGGACGAUUUCAAAUCAACUGCGCAGAAUGCGUCAUCGAUAAAAUGAAUAAAGAUUUGGUCAUGCAAACUGACUUUUGUGGUCGCCACUUUCACAUCCGGAAAAGUUAAUAGAAUAAAGAGAACGAAAAAACAGGAUUAGUGCGAGUCUAUCUUUGCGUUCGUGUCUGUCUGGCAGUCGUCCGCGGAGAAACUAGUUUUAUUUUGGUGGGAAAUAUUUGGAUUGAUCCCAGAUAUAAUGAUACCGUAAUUGACUCGUUUCUGUUUUUAAAUGGCAAGUCGUCCUAUAUUAUCUGCGUGUGAUUUGCAUAUGAAAUACGAAAAUGGAUUGGCAUUCCAGUGGGUGACAGAAUUCUGGUAAGGUGCUACUAGAUGGACAACGGUCUCGACGACUUUUGCGAAUUUGACCUUGUCAGACUUUGUACGGCCGAUUCGUGAGAGGAGCAUUUUAAAAAAUUAUUCACCUUUUUGUGUUUGGUUUGAAACCGAUUUCUAUCGAAUACAAAAUAGUCUCGAUUCCUUUUUUCCGAUUUUCCAGUUUAGAAUUUUAGAUUUCGUUUUACCUUGACGUGGUGAAAAUAGCUGAGGAAUUUUUCCACGUUUGGUAAUCAUUUGGGCGUAAACUUUUUAGCUCAUUAUUGAGGACUGAGAUUGUAAUUGUAAUUUUUUACAUUUUGCAAAUAAUUGAAUGCAGGUUUCAAUGUUUUAAUCAAUCAGGCAACGAUGUUUGUUUUGUUUUUAUUUUAUUUUCGUCUGUAGCAAUUUCAAAUGUCAAAAAAAUGGCAGAGAGUUUCAUACGUGAUGUUAAUCUCAUCACUUUCAGAUUUCUUUUCGGUGAAUUAAAAGAAUUAAAGAACUCGUCAGUUGUAUAAAUUAUUCUAUUUUAAUUAGUAUGCACCUGCAAUCCUUUUAAUGCUUUUAAAAGUGUUGUAAGUCAGAAGCAAUGGUGUAACUACACUCGACUGGUAAUCUGAAGGGGAAAAGGUCUAAAAACGGAUCCAUACUGUAUCGUCAACUGCCUCGACGAUCCCAGUUAGUCAGUCCAGAGUGAAGCAAACAUUUUAUUACAUGAUGUACUCCAACAUAUGUAUGCAACAGUUCAUCUGAACCCAAUGAUCUUUCAUUCCGUUUACAUCUCAAUUAGUUUUACCCAAUUGUUCACAUGUGAGAUGUCUUACCGAGCAGAGAUCCCAAAUUCUGGGCAUCUGGGAUUGUGUAAUGAGGUAAGAGCUUUUUGGAAACACUACCUUGAUUUGUCAACAAUAUUCUGCCAAUGUUUCUAUUUUCCCUUGAAUCGCUUUUCUCAUCUUGUGUAAGAGGAGGUAGGAUUAAUUAUGCUAGUGAGUGGAAUAGGUACACCUAUUCUCGACAGUAUAUAUACUGGCAAUACACGGGGGACGUGGACAAACCAUUCUUCAGCUGCACAGCAAGUAUUCUACUAUCAAGUAUCCAUCUAAAAAAAUUCUCUGCAAGAUGAAUUUGAUUUCGAUCGCUUCCCUGUUGGUUGUUGCUGCGUUGAUGAUUUCGGUCGAUGCCCAGUGGAACACCGGCGACGGUGGCGUCAGAUGGAGGCCCAACUGCGACUUCACCGGCGGAGACAUUGGCAACGUGCGAGUGCCCGGACCGCAGUGCGGAAGGGCUUGCAUCAAUCGACCUAGAUGCAAUCAUUUUACUUAUAGAGACGGAGUGUGUUACCUGAAAAGCCAUCCAUUAUCCAAACCACGAUCCGGAUGUGGCGCAUGCGCUGUUUGCGGAUACCUUCCAUUCCGAACCAUCGGAUAAAGUUUUCUCGUUUCAGAUUUUGCAGUUUUCCAGAUUUUGCAGUUUUCCAGAUUUCUAUCUAUCGUUUCGUAUUUAGUUUAUAUACCUUUAUAAGUAGCAUUAUUAUGUAGAUGUAGACGAAAUAAUUUAUCAAAUACAACUUAUUAUUACACGC